UACGUAGGGUGCGAGCGUUGUCCGGAAUUAUUGGGCGUAAAGGGCUCGUAGGCGGUUUGUCGCGUCGGGAGUGAAAACCAGGUGCUUAACACCUGGCUUGCUUUCGAUACGGGCAGACUAGAGGUAUUCAGGGGAGAACGGAAUUCCUGGUGUAGCGGUGAAAUGCGUAGAGAUCGGGAAGAACAUCGGUGGCGAAGGCGCUCUACUGGACCACAACUGACACUCAGGGACGAAAGCUAGGGGAGCGAAUGGG
rnacentral:rRNA from 1 species